rnacentral:lncRNA from 1 species
UCCACAACAUGCACGUCUCCUUCUCUAAAAAAACAUGCACGUCUCCUCCACCUUCGUUUCUAGGUGCUUCUCCUGUACGUCCUCCAUAGAUCGCUUAUGGUGUAGAUGUGCUAGAUCAAUCAAGUUAGACAAGCAUGCAGAGGAAAAGGAAGUUAAGAGCUACUGCUGCCGGCAUCAUGGCCAAGAAUCUCCGACGAAGUCUUCCCCAACACAACGAAGGCCAGCUGCUUCCACCAGCCGCAGAGUUUGCGUGGUGCCUGCCCGGCUGUACAUGUGUAAACCACGUAAGGAAAAUAGUCUCUCCUUAGCCCAGUGCCCAGCCGGAUCUACAAGUACAUCACGUAUGCAUGUCUAGGGAAUCAGGUUGUCAGCUAACACUGCCGCCGUCCAAGACGUUGUCUUGGUGUACUACGGACGUGGUGCCAGACAAAAGUUUUUCCCCAUAAAACUCCAUGGAACAAUUAUAGGCAAGCUAAAGAUUCACAACUCAUCGUCCUUUUAUUUCUUCAUGUUCAACACGAUAUGGAGCAAUUAGAUCAUCUGAAGAAUCCUCGAUCUAUUUAUUUUUCCAAUUCACUAGCAGGUUAGCAUCAUCAAUAUAUAGUCAAUUGUGCCUUGGACCAUGCCAAAAUAUAGUUUCGACGUUGCCCAGUUGUGGAUCGUUGAUCGCAACCAUGUACUCACAUCUGAUCGUAGGAGCACCGAGCAUCGUGUAACUGGACAUGGACCAGGCUCUAAUUCCCAG